rnacentral:lncRNA from 1 species
UAAACCUCUGUGUUUCGUACCACAGCUGCCUAUUUAUAAAUCUCAUAUGAUGAGGCCAACAGCUCUCUUCAAGAGCUCUCCGUGGAGGGGGCUGUGUGGAAAGUGGUAAGUUCACUGUCACUGGAGAUUUUCACAAUGAAAAUCUGUGACAAGCAGGGUGAGAGCCUGUUGGGAGUGCUGUGGAUGAGAUUCUGGAAACAAAAGACUUAGCCACAUUUUCUGAGAUCCCAUCUAAGUGAAAGCCCUGACUAUUGACAAAGCCAGGGGACAUUAUUGCUGAUGAAACCAAUCAGGCAGUGAUACUUUUACACCCAGUGAGUUCUAGGGAGUGGCAUUCAUGAAGAGGCUUGCACUACAUCCAGACCCUGAAGCAUCUGCAGGCUACUGCCUUGUCUGCCAAGGCGUUGGAGAAACCAUGGCGUGAACACCACCAGAAGUUAAGCCUGAGCCUUUAAUAAGCAGAUCGGCCCGAGUGGCCAUGCUCCCAGGCUGUCCUUCCACAGCCACACAGCCCAUCAAGGCAUUCUGCUCAACGAAGACUUUUCCUUCCUCUGAAAGAGACUUUCCUGCUAAACAACUUUUUUCCUUACUACAAUCUGAUUGCAGUAAGCAAGGAUGGCAUAACAUAACCAUCCAAAUAAGUUGAAAACUUUUGCCCACACAAAAACCUGCACACUGAUUCAUAUUUGCCAACACUUGGAAGCAACCAAGAUGUCCUUCAACAGAUGAAUAGAUAAACAAAACGUGGCACAUCCAGACAAUGGAAUAUGAUACAGCAGGAAAAAGAAAUGAGCUCCGGACAUUCUGGAAAGAACAUUGCCAGAGAUGGUAUGCCUGGUCUUUGCCGUAUAAUGUCAUCCCUCAGUAUUGGAGAAUUGGUUCCAGUUUUCCCAUGGAUACCAAAAUUUGCAGAC